UCCCUGAAUAGUUCAGUUGAUAGAGCAUGAGACUCUUCAUUUCAGGGUCAUGGCUUCAAGCCCUAAGUUGAGUGAA